rnacentral:rRNA from 1 species
AUUGAACGCUGGCGGCAUGCCUUACACAUGCAAGUCGAACGGUAACAGGUCUUCGGACGCUGACGAGUGGCGAACGGGCGAGUAAUACAUCGGAACGUGCCCAGUCGUGGGGGAUAACUACUCGAAAGAGUAGCUAAUACCGCAUACGACCUGAGGGUGAAAGUGGGGGACCGCAAGGCCUCACGCAGCAGGAGCGGCCGAUGUCUGAUUAGCUAGUUGGUGGGGUAAAGGCCCACCAAGGCGACGAUCAGUAGCUGGUCUGAGAGGACGAUCAGCCACACUGGGACUGAGACACGGCCCAGACUCCUACGGGAGGCAGCAGUGGGGAAUUUUGGACAAUGGGGGCAACCCUGAUCCAGCAAUGCCGCGUGUGUGAAGAAGGCCUUCGGGUUGUAAAGCACUUUUGACCGGAAAGAAAUCGCGCUGGUUAAUACCUGGCGUGGAUGACGGUACCGGAAGAAUAAGCACCGGCUAACUACGUGCCAGCCGCCGCCGUAA